rnacentral:lncRNA from 1 species
UAGAUAGAGAUAAGGAGAUAUUCUCCGGUAGGCAAAAAAUUUGGAUAAGCAUAAAUUUUUUUCUGUUGUAGAAACAAAGAGGAAUUAAAAAUUUGUUUAAUUCUGUUAUUUAUUUUACGUAAUGAAUAGAGGAAUUAAUUUUUUUUCCCGCCAAAAAAUGGGUCUGUCGACGGACCGAAAUUUGAAAUACGUGCUUUUAUAUAUAGUAUAAAUAUAUAUAGUCCGGCUAUGGUACUUGUAAAAGCACUAAGCAUUUGGUGCUUGUAAAUUUUAUACCGUUAGAUCUAUCCUGUUGAUCAUUUUUACCUAUUAGAUCAUACUAUUCAACCAACUGUCCACUCAAUCCUAGGGUUCCCACAUCAUUCUAACCACACAUCUCUUAAUUCAAUGGCCAAAACUCCACAAGCACCAUUACCUUGGUACUUUUAAAAGUAUAGGAGCUCAAUUCUAUAUUUAUAUAUAUAUAUAUAGAGAGAGAGAGAGAGAUCGAGUCACUAUACUCUUAUGAGUACGAUCGCCUUCGUAUAAGUUAUUUUUUAUGAUAGAGCUUCCGAAUCGACGAUCCAUACCGUUAAACAUUAUCUAGAACAUUUAAAACUUCUAGAAAUCAAAUUUUAUAAUUUUUCGAUAUCAUUUACUGUCACGCCCGGGUACCAGCGGAAACAUAUCCGGUACGUGCACAGACCCGCCAUACACUUGCAGUAUAUAAGGCGUCUACAAAGAAGCAAAUCGAUAGGAAGAAAACAUAGAAGAUCCUAUCCUGAUAUCAGAGCAAAGUACAAGUCGAUAUCAUCAACAGAAGAACAGAGAGUAUAC